AGGCAAAUUGUUUUCUCUGUUCCGGUCGCUUUUGAAUCGGUUCGUCGCGAAAGCCGGCCGCAACUCCUCGUCCGCGUCUCUCUCUCCCUCUCUCUCGUUCCCACCAAGCAGAAGCGAGCGGCGAGCAGCGCGACGAGCACGGCGACCUCCAGCGUCGAUCCCGCAUACGGAUCUGGAGGUGAGACCGUGGUGGCGGCGAGGGACGGUCUCUCUCCAGCAGUCCAGCUUCAUCGUCCAGAGUAAAGCAGCUGGCAAGCUUAUUUGCCACAUGGGAUUGCCCUGGUAGAACUUGGAUGUCUCGUACCUGAGAUUACACGGCACAGCAAGAACCCGUCCACCUCGAAUCCCGUUGAAAAAUUCUGUUGCCUGGUUGUUGAUUUCCUGGAAACAAGCCCAGCACUCACUGGGUGGUAAGUCCGGCGUGCACUGCGCCAGAGAAUAGAGCGGCGGGAAAGUGCUGCUGGCAUCCAUGUGGCCGGUGGCGUACCUCAUCGGCGAGUUGUACGCCGCCUGUUUGGCUGUGCCUUGCAGCAGCACCUUGAUCAUGUUGAUGAUGAUGCUGACACUCUCAGAGUUGUCAGGAUCCCAACCUGGCAACAUGGGCUCCUCGAUGUCACGUGGGUUCCUCCAGAGUACGGCAUGAUUGGCAGCGCCACUGAAGUCCCAAUCAGCGAAGCGAACGAUGCAAAUGUCAUAAAAGAUGGUUGUGUCCUUGUUGAACGUGCAGAGCUCCUGGGCGUUCCAGAACGCGGCAGUGGCACACUCACUGCAUGUGGAGGUGUUGGUGGUGUCACCGCGGCAGUGUGUGAGACCAUAGACGGUGUCUGGGGCGGCACCGACUGAGCUCUUCGCAUACAGGGUUGAUGUGAAUGACGCGUUCUUGGGGAGCGCAGCAGCAAGGAGCUCAAGAUUGGUAUGGUAGGUGCUCAUUGCCGUGUAGUUGCCCCUGCUGGUGUUGCAGGUGAGGGCAAUUGGAUAGGUGCCGGCGGCGAGCGUCAAGCCAUGAAUGAGCAGAGCGAGGAGGAUCAUGGCUGGGUAACCCAACUUGGUAAUCUGCUCUUAUCUCUGUCUCGGCACAGCACGCAGUUUGUGUUCAUCAUUUCUAUUGCAACUCAAAUGCUUAAUUGCCCAGGUCAAGUAAUUCCUAAUCAGCAUCAUUUGGAACCUACCCGUCCUGAUAGUUUGACUGAUUAGUCUUCUUGCUGGCCGUGGCCGGUCUAAUUUUAUUAAGAUUGGAAGAGGAAACCGGUACAGCGAUGAGGACAGAAAAGGCUAUUAACAACAACGCUAUGCAUACUGGAGGAUCAGCUGCUGCCAGAUUGAGACCUCAGGCUACUGUCAGUAUAAGUUUGUUGCCUAACUAAACAAUGUUUUAUGCGACACAAACGAGGUAUUUUCAGGGUUCCUUUCAAGGGAGGACAUCUUUAGAUCUAGAAGGAGCUGCCAAGCUAUGGCAUCGUUAUUCACUAUGGCGAUUCCUUGCAUUGGAUCCUAAAAUUGUGUUAAGUUGUGGAACUCUACAUUGGUUACUACAGUUCCUUGUUUAUGAAUUAAAAUAACUAAGAAUAUUGGGACACCAAAUUGUACAGUCACAUAUGUGUUAUUUGUCUGAUA